rnacentral:misc_RNA from 1 species
GAUGAAGAACGCAGCGAAAUGCGAUAAGUAAUGUGAAUUGCAGAAUUCAGUGAAUCAUCGAAUCUUUGAACGCACAUUGCGCCCCUUGGUAUUCCGAGGGGCAUGCCUGUUCGAGCGUCAUUAUAACCCCUCAAGCUCAGCUUGGUGUAGGGGCCUGCUGCACUGGCAGCCCUUAAAAUCAGUGGCGGCGCCAUCUGGCUCUAAGCGUAGUAAUUCUUCUCGCUAUGGAGUCCUGGUGGAUGCUUGCCAUCAACCCCCAAUUUUCUAUGGUUGACCUCGGAUCAGGUAGGGAUACCCGCUGAACUUAAGCAUAUCAAUAAGCGGAGGA